rnacentral:rRNA from 1 species
GCAGUCGACGAAGUAGCAAUACUUAGUGGCAGACGGGUGAGUAACAUGUGGGUAUCUUCCCUUUGGUGAGGAAUAACACGAGGAAACUUGUGCUAAUACCUCAUAAGUCUUUACGGAGAAAGCUUUAUGCGCCAAUGGAUGAGCCCGCACUUGAUUAGUUUGUUGGUGGGGUAAUGGCCUACCAAGACUUUGAUCAAUAGCUGAUCUGAGAGGAUGAUCAGCCACAUUGGGACUGAGACACGGCCCAAACUCCUACGGGAGGCAGCAGUAGGGAAUAUUGCACAAUGGAGGAAACUCUGAUGCAGCGAUGCCGCGUGAGUGAAGAAGGCCUUUGGGUUGUAAAGCUCUUUCGUCGGGGAAGAAAAUGACGGUACCCGAAUAAGAAGGUCCGGCUAACUUCGUGCCAGCAGCCGCGGUAAUACGAAGGGACCUAGCGUAGUUCGGAAUUACUGGGCUUAAAGAGUUCGUAGGUGGUUAAAAAAGUUGGUUGUGAAAUCCCGAAGCUUAACUUCGGAACUGCAAUCAAAACUUUUUAGCUAGAGUAUGAUAGAGGAAAGCAGAAUUUCUAGUGUAGAGGUGAAAUUCGUAGAUAUUAGAAAGAAUACCAAUUGCGAAGGCAGCUUUCUGGAUCAUUACUGACGCUGAGGAACGAAAGCAUGGGUAGCGAAGAGGAUUAGAUACCCUCGUAGUCCAUGCCGUAAACGAUGUGUGUUAGACGUUGGAAAUUUAUUUUCAGUGUCGCAGCGAAAGCAGUAAACACACCGCCUGGGGAGUACGACCGCAAGGUUAAAACUCAAAUGAAUUUGACGGGGACCCGCACAAGUAGUGAGCAUGUGGUUUAAUUUCGAAGAUACGCGCAGAACCCUUACC